rfam:Cavia porcellus supercont2_19 genomic scaffold, whole genome shotgun sequence.
AGGGAUUUAGCUCAGUGGCAUAAGCGCCUGCCUUGCUAGCAGGAGGCUGUGAGUUCAAUCCCCAUCCUCCCCA